UGUGAGGCAGAGGGGCUGAGAAAGCUGAUGCCAACCCCAAAGAUCUGCACGGCCAUAUUGAGGAGCUCCUGAAGCAGGACGCUUGUUUUUCAGAGGCCCACACAUCAUCCAGAACCAAGCAGGCCCAGGAAGCAAUGCUGCAUCCUCCAUCAAGGAAGGGAAGAAUAUAAUACAGCCACUCUUCAAAGAACAAGCUGAUGGGAGAGCUACGCUACAGAAUGUGAGAUGGUCUUCUGACUGGCCAGGAGGGCCUGUGACAGACAGAUGUG
rnacentral:lncRNA from 1 species